UUGACGCCGCCGCCCGCGCGGUCGUAAGGGAGCAGCGUCGAGUAUCGAAGAAGCCGGUGAGAAUCCGGCGCGGUCGCGCCACUGUAAUCGCAUGGGACCUUUUCCGUCGAGAGCCAGACCUUCCUGUUCGGCAACAGGUUUUC
rnacentral:ncRNA from 2 species